AUGAGACGAAGGGAGCCUGGGUCCCCAAAUCACCAUGUCGGAGCUCUUCAGCCAAAAGCUGACACUGAGCUGCUACGUGAGCAAGAGACACCUUGCCCAGAUGGAAGGCCAUUAAUGGAUUUUUAUUUUCAAAAGAGGUAUCUUUGCAAAUCAAAGAGAGUCAGAGAAUGCAAAUGAAAAUUGCAGUAACUGAUUAUCCAGCAGAAUGCUUGCCUUAAAGGUGAGAGGCGGUUUUGGAAAUCAAUUACAUCAAAUUUCACCAUUCUUUACCUGGGCAAUAUUUUCAAAUGCAUUAAUUUCCAAUUUAGGUUAUUAAGUGUAUGACAAAUCUGAAUAUACAUUGCAUGUUUCCUCUCAUAUUUUAAAUUUUGUAUCCAAUUACACAAAGAGGCAGAUGCAGAAUACUUUUAUUUUAGGAUCAAUUAUACCAUAUUGAUAAAUGAAAAUGACAUUGCACCUUAU
rnacentral:lncRNA from 1 species